CUCCUAACUACCUGGUGCUCUGUUGACCAAUCAGGGCCCCGUAUAAAAACUGCUAGUUUCCCCCUUCCGCCCUCUCUUGCCCGCUGGUGACGGAAGUGCGUCAUACUUCCGCGUCGCUCACUCCGUGUAGUUGCUCUGCUGUGCUACAGAUCUUCGGUUGGCGGGCUAUCAUUCACCUUACUGUUUGAACGCCGUGAAUGAGGAGCGAGUAACACUGAUAGCUGCUACGUUUGCAUGCUCGGAGCUUCCUCCCUCUGGGCUUACCAAAACUCUGCUUGAGCGGAACUGGGCUGAAGCCACCGGAGGUCCUUGUAGCUGUUUAGCAUUUCCACUACUGGCUGCUGUUUUGCUGAGACACUGCUGCUUUUGCCGAAACACUGCUGCUUUUGCCGAGGCUGCUGUUUGCUUCAUACGGCUUUUGCCGCGACUGCUGCUGUUAUUGAAAAUUCAAUAUCGUAGCGAUUGCUGCACGCCAUGCUGCACACCUGUCUUGCCUUCUCGGCUACUGGGCCAAUAUGAGUCACCUGUUUUAUUGAGCCAUUGUUUUAUAGUUGAGGGGUUUGACUCCCUACUUUAAUUUGGUUGAUUUAGUUGUUUCUUUGUUUUCUUUCUAUUGUUUUCAAUUUAAUUAAAAGUUGUACUUAUAUUUUGUUUAGUUUCUUUUAGUUAGUCUUUUUCUAUUUAAACAUUGACUUUUCUUGGUUAUGUUAUUGUGUCAAUUAGAAGUGUUUUGUUUCUUGCUUUGUAUGGCUUCCUGGAACCACUAGUGGUUCUGGCCAUUAUAUGGUAUUUAUAUUGUGUUCGAUUUCUUUCAAUUUGUUUCUUUAUAAUCGGUUAUUGAUUUUUUGAGAUUU